GUGGGUAACCUGCCUGUAAGACUGGGAUAACUCCGGGAAACCGGAGCUAAUACCGGAUAGUUCCUUGAACCGCAGGUUCAAGGAUGAAAGACGGUUUCGGCUGUCACUUACAGAUGGACCCGCGGCGCAUAGCUAGUUGGUGGGGUAAUGGCUCACCAAGGCGACGAUGCGUAGCCGACCUGAGAGGGUGAUCGGCCACACUGGGACUGAGACACGGCCCAGACUCCUACGGGAGGCAGCAGUAGGGAAUCUUCCGCAAUGGACGAAAGUCUGACGGAGCAACGCCGCGUGAGUGAUGAAGGUUUUCGGAUCGUAAAGCUCUGUUGUUAGGGAAGAACAAGUGCGAGAGUAACUGCUCGCACCUUGACGGUACCUAACCAGAAAGCCACGGCUAACUACGUGCCAGCAGCCGCGGUAAUACGUAGGUGGCAAGCGUUGUC
rnacentral:rRNA from 2 species